AGGCACGGCUGGGGGUGCCAUGCAGGCGCACGUGGUGUCCCCGCAGGACGAGGUCAUGCAGCUCCAAGCCGUGCAGUGCCUCAGACUGGGCCAUGUCCAGGCCACUCACAAAGCAGCCGGCGCCGAUUUGAAUGGGGCCCUGGCCUCACCCGAAGGUGGCAGUGCUGCAGGACACUCCCAGGACCCAGCUGGACAGGGCCCUCCAGCAGGCAGCUGACCACGGAGCUUCCAGCGCCCAGGAGCUGCAGCUCCUGUGAAGCCAGGGAGAAGGUUGUAAGGGCCCAGGGCCAAGGGCUACCCCAGUGCUCUUCCACAGCCAAGGCCCGAGCUGAAUUCCUGCUGCUCAGUGUGCCUGCCGGCCAGCCAGACCCCAGUCAGUCCCUGCCCUGGCCUCAGCCUUAGGCCUACUCCCAUCCCACCUUGUUCAUGCGGUUCCACCAGGGGCAUGCUCUCCCUGCAUUCUCCUCCAGAGCAAAUCUCAACUGAGUAAUGGAGGUCCCACCAGAUGACAGCUCUCACAGAAAACCUCUCCCACCCAUCCAGGUGGAUACCCAGGUGUGGGACUGCUGGGUCACGUGAUGGGAAACCAAUCCGACUCCAGAGCCCCUGGCCGUCCCAAGACCAUCUGUGGACGAGCACCUAGGGGGGCCCUGGCAUCUACCUCUGGCAGGGCCCCGGCUGCUGUCCCACCAGGCAACCCACCUCCACCUCUUCCCUCCGGCCCCCAAAGCUCAGCAUCGGAAGGAGAGUGGAAGCAAGCUGCACGCUGUCCCAGAGGUGCCCUGCGCACACAGUCAGCCCAGGGCCCAGCCAGAGCCGACAGGAAACCUGAAGCUCAGCAACAGUUUCUUCUUCUGCCAGACUCUGCUGCCACCAAGCCUAUGGUUAAGGCUGACAAAUACCACCGCUUAGCAACACUCACACUCCCACAAGCUUUCAGGGAAAGCCUCCACCACUAACAGAAAUUGCUCUGUUCCCUGCUCGGCCCAGAAGGGAAAUCCAGAGGGGAAAUUUGAGAUAGAGAUCUUGGCCAGGCACCUGAGAGCAAAAGCAUUCCCCAGAGAGAGGACGGCAAAGGAUUCCAGCUUGGCCGCCAACUCAGUGUGUGAUCUUCAGCACCCCUAAGUCUCCCAGGCCUCCUGUGGCAGGGAGUGUAAUUGACAGAUGCCCCCAGCUUGUCCACAUGGAGGCACACUUUCCACCAACUGCUGCCAAUCAAUGACAGCGCAGCAGGGACACGAAGACAGACCCAAUCCUGGGGAUUCUCUGACCGGCAACUUUGGCUCCAGGACUCCCCAUCGACUCAAGGGAAACUGUCUUAGAACUGCAAUGCAGUCUGUGACUCUUCCUACCCUUCCCUCCCUCCUUCCUUCUGGUGCUCCUUCACAGGGAGCAGACCUGGACUGCAAACUGACAUCUCUCCCUGCCUCCUCCAGCUUCCUCCUCCUCUUUUCCCCUCCCCUGAUAAAUCUCUUGCAAGUCUAAUCCCAUCUUGGUGUCUGCUUCUUCAAGGGGGAACCAACAGGGGGAGUAUAAGAUCACCUCCCUCUUGGUACGUUCAAAGGAAAAAUCAUUGUAAGAACCUCUAACGUACUGUCUGGGAAGUACUAUCCUUAUCCUUACAGAUGAAGAAACUGAGGUACAGAGAGAUUAAGUAACUUGCCCAAGGUUGCACAGCUAAGGAAGUGGCAGAGCCCAACUUGAACUCAAACACAUUUUUUUUCAGUCCAUUCUCUUAACCACUACACUGAACCUAUUUUGUAGGAUUGAAUAAAGAACAAAAGGAGUACA